CCUACGUGCGGCAGCAGUGGGGAAUAUUGCACAAUGGGGGAAACCCUGAUGCAGCGAAGCCGCGUGAGUGAAGAAGUAUCUCGGUAUGUAAAGCUCUAUCAGCAGGGAAGAAAAUGACGGUACCUGACUACGACGCCCCGACUAACUACGUGCAAGCAGCCGCGGUAAUACGUAGGGGGCACGCCUUAUCCGGAUUUCCUGGUGGUAAAGGUAGCGUAGACGGCCCUGCAAGUCCUGAGUGAAAACACAUGGCUUAACCAUGGUACUGCUCGGGAAACUGUGGAGCUUGAGUGCGGGAGGGGCAGGCGGAAUGCGUGGUGUAGCGGUGAAAGGCAGAGAUAUCACGCAGAACUCCGAUGGCGAAGGCAGCAUACCGGCGCUCAACUGACGCUCAGGCACGAAAGUGUGGGUAUCGAACAGGAUUAGAUACCCUAGUAGUC
rnacentral:rRNA from 1 species